rnacentral:piRNA from 1 species
UACAGAAAUAGUUCGCCCUUAGUUAAAGC